rnacentral:rRNA from 1 species
UGCCAGCAGCCGCGGUAAUACGGAGGGCGCAAGCGUUACUCGGAAUCACUGGGCGUAAAGAGCGUGUAGGCGGAUAAAUAAGUUUGAGGUGAAAUCCCUGGGCUCAACCCAGGCGCUGCUUUUGAAACUCCAGGUCUAGAGUGAGAUAGAGGAUAGCGGAAUUCUUAGUGUAGGGGUAAAAUCCGUAGAUAUUAAGAGGAACACCAAAAGCGAAGGCAGCUAUCUGGGUCUUUUACUGACUCUGAGAUGUGAAAGCGUGGGGAGCAAACAGGAUUAGAUA